AAUUGACGGGGGCCCGCACAAGCAGUGGGAGCAUGUGGUUUAAUUCGACACAACGCGCAGAACCUUACCAGGGCUUGACAUCCCCUGACGGUCGUGGAAACACAAUUUUCUGGCCUUUGGUCAGACAGGGAGACAGGUGCUGCAUGGUUGUCGUCAGCUCGUGUCGUGAGAUGUUGGGUUAAGUCCCGCAACGAGCGCAACCCUUGUCCUGUGUUGCCAGCGUGAAGACGGGGACUCACAGGAGACUGCCGGUGACAAACCGGAGGAAGGUGGGGAUGACGUCAAAUCAUCAUGGCCCUUAUGCCCUGGGCCACACACGUGCUACAAUGGCCGGUACAGAGGGGAGCGAAGGAGCGAUCUGGAGCGAAUCUCAAAAAGCCGGUCUCAGUUCAGAUUGGGGGCUGCAACUCGUCCCCAUGAAGCCGGAAUUGCUAGUAAUCGCGGAUCAGCCACGCCGCGGUGAAUACGUUCCCGGGCCUUGUACACACCGCCCGUCACACCACGAAAGCCGACAACACCCGAAGCCGGUGAGCCAACCCGCGAGGGAGGUAGCCGUCUAAGGUGGGGUUGGUGAUUGGGGUGAAGUCGUAACAAGGUA
rnacentral:rRNA from 1 species